AACAGGAUUAGAUACCCUGGUAGUCCACGCCGUAAACGGUGGGUACUAGGUGUGGGUUUCCUUCCUUGGGAUCCGUGCCGUAGCUAACGCAUUAAGUACCCCGCCUGGGGAGUACGGCCGCAAGGCUAAAACUCAAAGAAAUUGACGGGGGCCCGCACAAGCGGCGGAGCAUGUGGAUUAAUUCGAUGCAACGCGAAGAACCUUACCUGGGUUUGACAUGCACAGGACGCCGGUAGAGAUAUCGGUUCCCUUGUGGUCUGUGUGCAGGUGGUGCAUGGCUGUCGUCAGCUCGUGUCGUGAGAUGUUGGGUUAAGUCCCGCAACGAGCGCAACCCUUGUCUCAUGUUGCCAGCGCGUUAUGGCGGGGACUCGUGGGAGACUGCCGGGGUCAACUCGGAGGAAGGUGGGGAUGACGUCAAGUCAUCAUGCCCCUUAUGUCCAGGGCUUCACACAUGCUACAAUGGCCGGUACAAAGGGCUGCGAUGCCGUGAGGCUUAGCGAAUCCUUUAAAGCCGGUCUCAGUUCGGAUCGGGGUCUGCAACUCGACCCCGUGAAGUCGGAGUCGCUAGUAAUCGCAGAUCAGCAACGCUGCGGUGAAUACGUUCCCGGGCCUUGUACACACCGCCCGUCACGUCAAGAAAGUCGGUAACACCCGAAGCCAGUGGCCUAACCCUUGUGGGGGGAGCUGUCGAAGGUGGGAUCGGCGAUUGGGACGAAGUCGUAACAAGGUAACC
rnacentral:rRNA from 1 species